rnacentral:rRNA from 1 species
UACGAAGGGGGCUAGCGUUGUUCGGAAUUACUGGGCGUAAAGGGCGCGCAGGCGGCGGACCGAGUCAGGCGUGAAAGCCCCGGGCUUAACCUGGGAGGUGCGUCUGGGACUGGUACGCUAGAGUUCGGGAGAGGAGAGUGGAAUUCCCAGUGUAGAGGUGAAAUUCGUAGAUAUUGGGAAGAACACCGGUGGCGAAGGCGGCUCUCUGGACCGAGACUGACGCUGAGGCGCGAAAGCGUGGGGAGCAAACAGG